rnacentral:rRNA from 1 species
UACGUAGGGGGCGAGCGUUGUCCGGAGUUACUGGGCGUAAAGCGCGCGCAGGCGGUCACGUAAGUUUGCACUGACAGCUCCUGGCUUAACCGGGAGAGGCGUGUGAAAACUGCGUGACUUGAGGGCCUCAGAGGGACAUGGAAUUCCAGGUGGAGCGGUGAAAUGCGUAGAGAUCUGGAGGAACACCAAAGGCGAAGGCAGUGUCCUGGGAGCACCUGACGCUCAGGCGCGAAAGCCAGGGGAGCGGAACGGG